GGGCCCGUAGCUCAGUUCGGUAGAGCGCCAGGCUCUUAACCUGUUGGUCACGGGUUCAAAUCCCGUCGGGCCCG
rnacentral:tRNA from 2 species